rnacentral:lncRNA from 1 species
GGCAUUUAAUGAAUUUAUUUAAGUAAUUGUUUGAAUUAACUAUAGAUAUUAUUAAAUUGAUUAAAUAAUCAAUUUUAAAUCCAUUUAAAAUAUAAAGAGUAGAAAUAAAAGAUCAUAUUUAUCAAUCUACCUUGAUAAAUAAUAUUUAGAAUUAAAUGCGGUUUUGUACCACAUUUAAUGAAUACUCUAUAAUUAAAAAAGAAGGCAAU